GCAGGUGCUUUGCCGCGCAGACUCCCCGGCCGCGGGGACCGGCUUGGGCUCGGCCGGCUCCGGCGGGUGGGGACGCGGUGCGCGUUGCCCACGGGCCACUCUGGCUGCCUGGUGCUCCGCGAGGGGCGUGUGCCCGAGCCGCGCAUCCGCGGGCUCCAUGUUCACCGAGCUGCGGUCAAAGCUGAGCCCCCCGCGAGCUCGCGCCGGGGCUGUGCGUACAGGCUUCGGGGAGCGCCCGGAUGUGGACGCCUCUGCCCAUUUCAGCUUCUGCCAGACCCUCCUAGAGCAUACAGUGUCAGCUGAGAACAUACCCUGCCACCUGCCUCGGACACCAGGCACCAGCCUCACAUGGCACGACUCCCGAAGCCAGAGGGCAUCCAGCAGCAGGCCAAUCAAGCUCCUUCAACAGCCGGGCUCAG
rnacentral:lncRNA from 1 species